UACAGAGGUCCCAAGCGUUGUUCGGAUUCACUGGGCGUAAAGGGUGCGUAGGUGGUAAGGCAAGUCAGGUGUGAAAUCUCCGGGCUCAACCCGGAAAUGGCAUUCGAAACUACCUUGCUAGAGGGUUUGAGGGGGGACUGGAAUUCCCGGUGUAGCGGUGAAAUGUGUAGAGAUCGGGAGGAACACCGGUGGCGAAGGCGGGUCUCUGGGCAAUUCCUGACGCUGAGGCGCGAAAGCGUGGGGAGCAAACGGG
rnacentral:rRNA from 1 species